AGUGAACGCUGGCGGUAGGCCUAACACAUGCAAGUCGAACGGCAGCACAGUAAGAGCUUGCUCUUACGGGUGGCGAGUGGCGGACGGGUGAGGAAUACAUCGGAAUCUACUUUUUCGUGGGGGAUAACGUAGGGAAACUUACGCUAAUACCGCAUACGACCUACGGGUGAAAGCAGGGGAUCUUCGGACCUUGCGCGAUUGAAUGAGCCGAUGUCGGAUUAGCUAGUUGGCGGGGUAAAGGCCCACCAAGGCGACGAUCCGUAGCUGGUCUGAGAGGAUGAUCAGCCACACUGGAACUGAGACACGGUCCAGACUCCUACGGUAGGCAGCAGUGGGGAAUAUUGGACAAUGGGCGCAAGCCUGAUCCAGCCAUGCCGCGUGGGUGAAGAAGGCCUUCGGGUUGUAAAGCCCUUUUGUUGGGAAAGAAAAGCAGCAGGUUAAUACCCCGCUGUUCUGACGGUACCCAAAGAAUAAGCACCGGCUAACUUCGUG
rnacentral:rRNA from 1 species